rnacentral:rRNA from 1 species
UACGGAGGGUGCAAGCGUUAUCCGGAUUCACUGGGUUUAAAGGGUACGUAGGUGGGCAGGUAAGUCAGUGGUGAAAUCUCCGAGCUUAACUCGGAAACUGCCGUUGAUACUAUUUGUCUUGAAUAUUGUGGAGGUAAGCGGAAUAUGUCAUGUAGCGGUGAAAUGCUUAGAUAUGACAUAGAACACCAAUUGCGAAGGCAGCUUACUACACAACGAUUGACGCUGAGGCACGAAAGCGUGGGGAUCAAACAGG